GACGAACGCUGGCGGCGUGCUUCAUACAUGCAAGUCGAACGAGAAUCAGACUUCGGUCAGAGGAAAGUGGCGGACGGGUGAGUAAUACGUAGGAAAUCUGCCUUCUAGAGGGGGACAACAGUUGGAAACGACUGCUAAUACCCCAUAUGAGCGUAGCUGAAAUGCUAUUCUUGAAAACUCCGGUGCUAGAAGAUGAGCCUGCGUCUGAUUAGCUUGUUGGUGGUGUAAUGGACUACCAAGGCGACGAUCAGUAGCUGGUUUGAGAGGAUGAUCAGCCACAAUGGGACUGAGACACGGCCCAUACUCCUACGGGAGGCAGCAGUAGGGAAUUUUGCGCAAUGGGCGAAAGCCUGACGCAGCAACGCCGCGUGAACGAUGAAGCUUUUCGGAGUGUAAAGUUCUGUCAGUGGGGACGAAAUUUGACGGUACCCACAGAGGAAGCACCGGCUAACUCCGUGCCAGCAGCCGCGGUAAUACGGAGGGUGCAAGCGUUGUCCGGAAUCAUUGGGCGUAAAGAGUUCGUAGGUGGCAUGUUAAGUCUGGUGUUAAAGCCCGAAGCUCAACUUCGGUUCGGCACUGGAUACUGGCAAGCUUGAAUGCGGUAGAGGUAAAGGGAAUUCCUGGUGUAGCGGUGAAAUGCGUAGAUAUCAGGAGGAACAUCGGUGGCGUAAGCGCUUUACUGGGCCGUAAUUGACACUGAGGAACGAAAGCCGGGGUAGCAAAUGGGAUUAGAUACCCCAGUAGUCCCGGCCGUAAACGAUGGAUACUAGGUGUUGCGGGUAUCGACCCCUGCAGUGCCGUAGCUAACGCGAUAAGUAUCCCGCCUGGGGAGUACGCACGCAAGUGUGAAACUCAAAGGAAUUGACGGGGGCCCGCACAAGCAGAGGAGCAUGUGGCUUAAUUCGAUGCAACGCGAAGAACCUUACCCGGGUUUGACAUGCAGCUGCACGUCCCGUGAAAGCGGGAUUCCUUCGAGGGUGCUGCACAGGUGCUGCAUGGCUGUCGUCAGUUCGUGCCGUGAGGUGUUUGGUUAAGUCCAGCAACGAACGCAACCCCUGUGUCCAGUUGCCAGCGCGUAAUGGCGGGAACUCUGGACAGACUGCCCGUUCACACGGGAGGAAGGUGGGGACGACGUCAAGUCAGUAUGGCCCUUACAUCCGGGGCUGCACACGUGCUACAAUGGCCGGCACAAAGGGAAGCGAAGCCGCGAGGCCCAGCCAAUCCCCAAAACCGGCCCCAGUUCAGAUUGGGGUCUGCAACCCGACCCCAUGAAGUCGGAUUUGCUAGUAACGGCGCAUCAGCUACGGCGCCGUGAAUACGUUCCCGGGCCUUGUACACACCGCCCGUCACAUCAUGAAAGCCGUCUGCACCCGAAGCCGGCGCUCCAACCCGCAAGGGGGGAAGCCGUCUAAGGUGUGGGUGGUGAUUGGGAUG
rnacentral:rRNA from 1 species